UACGAACCGUACAAACGUUAUUCGGAAUCACUGGGCUUAAAGGGUGCGUAGGCGGCCAUGUAAGUGGGGUGUGAAAUCCCUCGGCUCAACCGAGGAACUGCGCUCCAUACUGCAUGGCUUGAGGGAGACAGGGGUAAGCGGAACUGAUGGUGGAGCGGUGAAAUGCGUUGAUAUCAUCAGGAACACCGGUGGCGAAAGCGGCUUACUGGGUCUCUUCUGACGCUGAGGUACGAAAGCGUGGGGAGCGAACAGG
rnacentral:rRNA from 1 species